rnacentral:lncRNA from 1 species
GUGGGACUGCCAAGAUGAAUAGACAUAAUCCUCGAUCUAACCACUUCACAGUUUAUCAUCGGAGUCAAGUUUGCAGAUAAACAAUUGCCAUGCAACUUUCAAGACAGUUGUUCAUCUGCUUCCAGAAAAUGGUGCCUGAGAUGAGCAAGGUCAGCAGACAAGAAGUGAGGUCAAUGUCAGGUUUCCAUGCCAGCAGCGGGAACUCUGGAUACAGUGGAGAGUCACAGCUGGUCAAACCCUGAACCGCUUGCUCCUUGAAAUGGCCAGAGAGGCCCAUCCCAGAGCCAUCUCAUCAUCUCUCCUCAGACAGGAAACCGAGAAGGAAAACAAUCAGCUCUGUUCUCUCUGGGCCGAGGGAGUGAGCUGUAAUGAGGGAGCACAGGAACGCAUUGGGCGCCCUCAGACCUGAACACACAGGUUAGCACCACCUGCCUGGCUGACCUGGCUCACAGGUGCGCGGUUGCCAGUUGAGAAUAACUCAUCCAGGGUUGUUGAAUGGUGGAGGAUCUUCCAAAAUCAGCAGCUAGGAGGUCGAGAACCCUUCAUGCCAUAC